AUUGUCAAAUUAAGCUCGAAUAAUCAACAUUGAAUAAAAUUUCCCUCAAAAAAAAAAAAAUUCAACAUUGAAUAAAAUCCAAUUAGACUACCCGCCCUCUUUUCAUGAAUUUCACUCAAAACUAAGUAUUACCCAAUUUGACUACCCGCCCUUCUCUUUGGCGAAUUUCAGUCAAAAAAUCCAUUUCCCUCUUCACUUUCCCAUUCCCUCUUCACUUGCCCAUUUCAGCGACAUUUCUUCUGGAUCUAGGUUUAGGAACUCAACUUCAUUCUCCCCCAAAUUCUUAUCUCAAUUCUCACUCGAGAUCCUAGCGAGAGAGCUCUUACUCGUUAACAACAGGAAAUGGUUUGAUAAGUCUGGUGGUGUUUCAUUUUGAUUUCAUUCAUCUCAAGGGCUUAGAUUAUCACAAGUCCUCAUAGUUUUCGGUUUUAUUUACAAAUUAAAGAUAGGAGGUGUCCUGCUGAUUCAAGACUCCCUUUUGAGUAUUGCUGUGAUAUGAGGUACUCUUCUGGUCAACAUGUUAUGUGGUACUUAGUCUCCUAGUGGUAUAUAGAGUUGAUGCAGCUUUGCAGAAGUUGGUCUGGGUGUUCGUGCUGAGAUGAUGGGCUUGUUCUGGAUGAAAUUCGAAACAAUGGAAAAAGAACCAUAUAUUUCCCAUCUCUAGAAAUGGGUUUAUGGAAAUAGCUUCCAGUCUUUCCUCGUUGCUGUAGUUAACCCCAACAAGUAGGCUCUUGAAUGCUGGGCUGAAGAACACGGUGUUGUAGGUGAUUUUUUCACUAUGCCAACAUCCUCGGUUCUCGUAGUCCAGUUCCCUUGUUGCUUUCUAUAGUCACGUCACUGGCAUAAAAAUUGACCCUAGGGAUAGGUUAUCGCUGGAGAAAAUCAAAGAUUUAUCUAAUGGUGCAAGCAAUGACAAAAAUGAGCCAGAAAAUUGCCCCUUCUCUUGGGCAAGAUCUCCAGAGAACCUUCUUUGGCAAGAGACUUAUUUGGCUCUAGCCACCACAUUUCUGCUCCUGAGGUUGUUGUACCUCCUCUUCCCAUGUCUGCUUGAGUUUUCUCAUUCUACUUGGAGA